CUCCGCCGCAGCAGUGCAGCGGGGCCAGGCUUACCGAACAUCUCAGAGCCUGGCCCGCCGUGCUCAGCCGACGUGUACGAUGGAGGUGACUUUUAGCUCCAGUUCCACUCGGUUCGAAACCAGCACGAGAUCACCGGAGACGUGCCCUUCAUAUGUCAUAUCAAGAAGAGAAAGGAACAGUCUUGAAAGGAACUCAUGACCAGAUGAGACCAUCAUGUCUUUGUUCUUCAAACUGCUCUCCAUCCCGUUAAGUUGUCUUUCCUCCAGCAUUAUUUCAGGGAAAUGUUUGUUCAGCAUACCAACCGUUAGUGGUCUAUGAACAUAUCAUCUCUGCACUUUGGAGACGACGACUGAAGUUGUUUUUAUCCAUGAAAGAACCAUAAGCUCUUCAUGUGUCCAAAAAAAAGUAACACAAUUGUGCCACAUUACAGAGCCAUCUUCUGGUCAUAUCUCUUUAUAAACCAAUUUCAAUAUAGUAUUUAUAAAGUUGCAGGUUGUGUUAGAAGUGAAAAUGGAAAUAGUGGAAGCGCACUUGCUUUGCAGGUAAAACAAAUGCACAUUUCAAAACUAAAUCAUGCAAGCAAGAUGAAGUAGCUUCAUCCAACUGUUUUAUUAUCUGCAGAUUAAGUGCCUAGACACGUCUCUUUUAAAAGCUCCAUGGCUUAGCUUUAAACCUACCAGUAAAGCACUAUUUUGGUCUUAUUUAAAAAUGGCUGAGAAUUUAAUUUCUGAGACAACAAACUGUAGACAGAUAGCUGUUCUCUUAAUUCAGAACUCAUAUUGGUGCUUUUGCAAAACCAUGAACCAUGCUUUCAUGUUUUCUAUGUACUUGUACUGACAAACCAAGACAGACAGUGGCACACUGACCUGAGCAUAAGCUUUAUAAAUUCCACAGUUAAACCUUUCUAGUGGGAGUGGGACAUAAUGAAAUAUAAUUAUUUUACUACCUCAGAAGUUACCACAGCUCAGACCCACACAGCGAGCACUCCGAUCAAACUAUAUUCACAUGCUUUUCUCAUAGUAAUGUAAAUAGAGUCAUUGUCUGUCAAAUGGUUUGGAAAUCAGUUGGAAGAGGAUUUUUUUUCAUGUACGUUAUUUUAUUAAUAGGUUUUCACAAAAAUCAUAUACAGACCUUGUAGUUCACGGACACUGGCAGACAAAAAUUUGGAAUAAUUAUUUUUUUAAAACUAUUUUUGAAAAUCUCCUAACCAAGGCUGCAUUGACUUUAUUAAAAUUACAGUGCAGCAAUACUGGGAAAUAUUAUUACAAUUUAAAAUAAAUGUUUUCUAUUUAUAAUGUGUGUAAUUUAAUCCUGUGAUAGCAAAACUGAAUUUUUUUAGCAGUUACUUGAAUCACAAGAUCCUUUAUUAUUGUUGAAAUCAGUUUUUGCUGUUUAAGCUUUGAGAAUAUGAAAUAUUUUUACAGAAUUUCUUGAGCAAAAGAAAGAUAACUAAACAGCAUUUAUUUGAAAUAGAUUUUUUUUGUUACAUUAUUGUCUUCACUAUUACUUUCAAUCAAUUAUAUUACAUUCUUGCUGAAUAAAAGCAUUUAUUUAAAAAAAUAACUUUGGAAAUAUGUCACAGUUUCCAUAUAAGAAACAUAAAUUAUGAUAUGUUGAUUAAAAAUAGAAAAUGGUUUUGUAGGAUAAUGGAUAAAGGAUAAUGUCUGCUGAAAAUUUAGCUUUGCCAUCACAGAAAUAAAUUACAUUUUGAAAUUGAAAAUAAGCAUAAGACAUCUAAAAAUAAUCUGAAUUAUUCCAAAGGUUUGGCUACCAGUAUCUAUUUUUCCUACAUGUUUUCCAAGAGAAUAUUCAUAGUGAAAUAAUAGUGUCAUUUUCAUAGUAUCCUCAUUAGGCCUGAAGAAAGGCAGUAGCAUGGUUAAAUGUUAGACCACAACAUUUUUAAAUAGUUAAUAGUUUAGUAUGUUUUAAUGCAUCAUCUCAGAUAGAUUAUAGGAAGUUGGUCACAGCCUGUGCUUGGUCCUCAGCAACAGUGCACUGUGAACAUAGGAGUUUAACUUCAUCUGUGUGAAAAUGUACACAGUUUUUGUUUCGUUUAUACGGUAGUUUCUGUCACAUAGAUUGGUAGAAAUCUAGUGUCAUGUACCGAGUAUAAAUUUCCAUGGGAGAAAGAGUAGUAAGGCCUCAGUGUGGGAAAUGUGCAAUAUUUGUUUCUUUCCUUUGUCUUGUUUUGAGAUGACUAUGUAUAUUGUACAAACAAGUGACAAGUUGUUCGCAAAAACAACAAAAUCACCAAUGUCUUCCAUUAAAUGAUGUAUAGUUUCAUCCGCUUGCUUUAGGGUGGCGGGAUUUGUAGUGCCAGCAUAAACAUGGCCAUGCAUGUAUGGUAGCGAUGCUUGCUGAGUUUAAUAGUCGUAGUGACAUUCAGUAUAUGCUAUAAUAAAGUCGUUUAGAAAAUAAAAUAGGCAGAUAACGAUUUAGUUAGUAACCACCAUGGAGCAGCAUCCACAUCUUGAUCGGUUUGAUUAAAAGGCGACUAGGCGAGUCAUUUUCACUCAUGCAGAGUUUGUUCGUUUUAGGUUUUAAUCGGCAAUCACGGUUGUUUAUUCACAGGUAAUCACUAUUAGUUAAUGUGUUGUAGCAUGCUGAGGAUUAGAAAAAUGGCGGUUGGUAUUGACAUGCAGCUAGCCAUGCUGAAAUACAUAUAUAUGUUUCAUAAGCACUGUGUGAGUUUGUCCUAGUUUGUACUGUGCAAAAUUAAGUUCUGGGCCCAAAAUAGUUGACUCGGAUCAAAAUGACAGUUCCCUAACGGGCAGAAAAUGUAGCUCGUUGGCUUAGAAGUGAAGAGUUUAAUUUUGUACCUGUUUCAGAAUUGAUUGGAAACAGUUGAUCCUGAUGCUAUUUGGUCUGUAACAAUCGGACACAAAAAAGACUUGUAGACACAAAGUAUUCUCGUCCUGAUUCGAAAGGGUAACCUAGAACUGUGUUUGUAUUCAUACCUCUAAUAUUGCAUUCUCCAUCAGGUAUUGUUGUCUCAGACUAGAGCUGUGGGUAGAUUAUUCCUAGUAGCAGAAAACUUUAGAUUUUAAAGUAACAUGUAUUAUAUUAAGUGGCAUAAAGCAAUUAUCAAAGCAUUGUAAUGUGGAUAAAUACCUCAAUGACUGGAAUGCAAACUAUAUUUUUAAAUAUACUCAAAGAUAUGCAAGCCAUGAUGUGUAUUAAGUUCAACGUUUAGAAGCAAUAAUCAGUUUAUGCAUGAAUUAUAGUGUCGGAGUAUUCAGUGGUUUUUGUGAAAUAGAUUCUGUAGCAUAUUUGUGACCAGUGGUUAGUGUUUUAUCCAGAACGUCCCAUUGCUCAUAUCUGGUAGUACAGAACUAGCUGUUAACACCCCCAUUAUUCGUUGACACCAAAUAAAUAGUGAAGGUAGCAACAGGGGUCUGACAAAUAUGAAAGACCCUUUUUUAUUUUGGACAGGUGGAAGAAAGUUCAUAACUAGUAAAAAUAUAUAUGCAGGGCUUAUGCCUUUCUAUUGACCUUGCAUGUUUACAUACAAACCAUUGUGGAACGCACAUAAGCUGUAUGUGUAUAUAUACAGAUUAUUUUCAUUAACAGCAAUAUGAGCAGUGUUCUGGUAGCAGUUUGUGACACUCUUAAUGAUUCAUUGUCUAAAUCCUGGGUAAACAAUAUACCACAAUACAUUCACGAAAUAAAAAAAAAGAUCCAUUGGGAAUUUACUAGUAUUUUUUUUAAUAAGAGUGCAAAAAACAUCUGUUAAUGCAUGGUAGAUAAAAGUGGAUACAAAAUGUUUUGUGCUGCAUGCAAUAACUAAGCUUUGCUUGAACAUAUUUAUGCAGAAAUGUGAUAAAUCUAUGAGUGGACCAAUGUCGUGACUUUCUUUUCAAAUGCAUGAAAUCCCAAAGGUUUAUCGCUGCUGUAAAUUAUUCAAAGACGUAUUCAUUAAAAAUGUUACUUUUUUGAAAUUGAGUAUUGUAUGAUGAAAAUGUAACAAGUCUGUGAUGCAAGAGGCAAGAUACAGUAUGUUUUAGCAAAACAUACGAUUGGGGAGUUUAAAAUAAAAAGAGUUAUUAAAAAAAAAGUUCUUUUUCCAUGUUCAAAGCAAAUAGUGAAGAACAUUUAUAUGCUUUGAUGACCUGAUUUGUGUUGCUGAUUUUGCCUCUGAAUGUGAAACUCUAUGCUUAGUCUGAUCUAUGCACUACAGAUGCGCCCCGCAUGAUUUUGUACAAAACAAAAUUAAAUUUUAGCAAUAAAAAAGCAGCAUGGUGCCAUACACAAAA